UCCCCCAAACCACCGCGACCCGAACUCCUUCCCCUCUUCUUCCCCUGACGCUCGCUGCUCUCUCUUUCACGGACGAGGACGCCUACGGGGGCGAGGCUGCAGCUCCAGCGAUCCUUCUUGGCCGGCAUCGACACCCAUUGAGCUCAGAUCCGGCCAGCGCUUUUCCUCUCCGGGUCGCAGAACCGACGCCAUUAGAUCGAUCCAGAUCCGCUCGAUCGCCGGCAUAGGUCCGUCGCUGGUGCUUUGCCCUUCGGAUCGUUGCUUCGUGUGAGCAGAUCUUCGAUCAAGAAGGGGGAUCCUAGCCCUAGCUUCGGGCCUUACCCUUCGAUUCUUCCUACUUACAUCGCUGGAUCAGAUCUUGGAUUUUUCCUUCCUUGUUGAGAUUUAAGUCUCGGUUGAAGGUAGGAUUCCAGUUGUGAGGGUAUGCUCUGUAGUUCCUUUUGAUUCAGCAACUCAUCUUGUUGCUAGCAUCAACAAUCCCUACUGUGGAUCAACAAAUCAGGGGGUUGUGAGGUAGAGGUAUUCUGUUGCUGUGAUGCUGGAAUUGUGAUCAUUGAGGUGGUAUCCAGCAGCUUUCCCUAACCGGCAGCAACAUCUUUGGUUGUUAUCUCCUGGUGAUCACCUUGGAUUUGGGACUCUGAUUCGAGAUGGGUGCCUCAACUUCGGAUUGGAUUGAUACUACCUUCUAUUUGAGGCGGG